GUAUUGUAUUGCGUUAAACGCGGCAUACAUUCCAUGAGACUUCGUUACAGAGUGUGUGUAAAGACGUAGAACCACGACAGGAGGACAGAGUCCCCCAUGCCACGGAACUACAGGGGGUGCACAGGUGUGAGUGGAUGUGUAAACAGAGCGUGCACAUGCCCCCGUUUGAGGACCAGCAACAACUCGUGUCGACAAUUCAGUAAUGAUCCUUCCGCAGGUUCACCUACGGAAA
rnacentral:misc_RNA from 1 species